rnacentral:rRNA from 1 species
AUUGAACGCUGGCGGCAUGCCUUACACAUGCAAGUCGAACGGCAGCAUGAUCUAGCUUGCUCGAUUGAUGGCGAGUGGCGAACGGGUGAGUAAUACAUCGGAACGUGCCCUGUAGGGGGGGAUAACUAGACGAAAGAUUAGCUAAUACCGCAUACGACCUGAGGGUGCAAGUGGGGGACCGCAAGGCCUCAUGCUAUAGGAGCGGCCGAUGUCUGAUUAGCUAGUUGGUGAGGUAAAGGCUCACCAAGGCGACGAUCAGUAGCUGGUCUGAGAGGACGAUCAGCCACACUGGGACUGAGACACGGCCCAGACUCCUACGGGAGGCAGCAGUGGGGAAUUUUGGACAAUGGGCGAAAGCCUGAUCCAGCAAUGCCGCGUGUGUGAAGAAGGCCUUCGGGUUGUAAAGCACUUUUGUCCGGAAAGAAAUGGCUCUGGUUAAUACCUGGGGUCGAUGACGGUACCGGAAGAAUAAGGACCGGCUAACUACGUG